rnacentral:rRNA from 1 species
UACGGAGGGUGCGAGCGUUGUUCGGAUUCACUGGGCGUAAAGGGUGCGUAGGCGGUCGGGUAAGUCUGAUGUGAAAUCUCACAGCUUAACUGUGAAACUGCAUUGGAUACUAUCCGGCUAGAGGAAUGGAGGGGAGACUGGAAUACUUGGUGUAGCAGUGAAAUGCGUAGAUAUCAAGUGGAACACCAGUGGCGAAGGCGAGUCUCUGGACAUUUCCUGACGCUGAGGCACGAAAGCCAGGGGAGCAAACGGG